UCUUACGGAUGAACAAGGAAAGUGGCUUCUUGAGAUAAAAUCUACUCUUGGUGAAGAUGCUAUGAA
rnacentral:pre_miRNA from 2 species